UACGGAAGUGGCAAGCGUUAUCCGGAAUUAUUGGGCGUAAAGCGUCCGCAGGCGGUCUUUUAAGUCUGCUGUUAAAGCGUGGAGCUUAACUCCAUUUCGGCAGUGGAAACUGGAAGACUAGAGUGUGGUAGGGGCAGAGGGAAUUCCCGGUGUAGCGGUGAAAUGCGUAGAUAUCGGGAAGAACACCAGUGGCGAAGGCGCUCUGCUGGGCCAUAACUGACGCUCAUGGACGAAAGCCAGGGGAGCGAAAGGGAUUAGAUACCCCUGUAGUCCUGGCCGUAAACGAUGAACACUAGGUGUCGGGGGAAUCGACCCCCUCGGUGUCGUACGCCAACGCGUUAAGUGUUCCGCCUGGGGAGUACGCACGCAAGUGUGAAACUCAAAGGAAUUGACGGGGGCCCGCACAAGCGGUGGAGUAUGUGGUUUAAUUCGAUGCAACGCGAAGAACCUUACCAGGGUUCGACAUCCUGCGAAUCCCUUGGAAACGAGGGAGUGCCUUCGGGAACGCAGUGACAGGUGGUGCAUGGCUGUCGUCAGCUCGUGUCGUGAGAUGUUGGGUUAAGUCCCGCAACGAGCGCAACCCACGUCGUUAGUUGCCAGCAUUCAGUUGGGCACUCUAGCGAGACCGCCGGUGAUAAACCGGAGGAAGGUGUGGAUGACGUCAAGUCAUCAUGCCCCUUACAUCCUGGGCUACACACGUACUACAAUGGUACGGACAAAGGGCAGCAAACUCGCGAGAGCUAGCAAAUCCCAUAAACCGCGGCUCAGUUCAGAUCGUAGGCUGCAACUCGCCUACGUGAAGGAGGAAUCGCUAGUAAUCGCAGGUCAGCAUACUGCGGUGAAUACGUUCCCGGGCCU
rnacentral:rRNA from 1 species